AAGGAGCAUGUAUGACUCUCAGAUGCUACAGACGUUAAAAAGCUGAAGUUGUGGAGGUAAGCAGAUGGUUCCUAAACUUUCAUUUGUCGUAGCCUCCCAUUGUUUUACGCUUCUGUUUAGUCUGUCAGGUUGUUACGGUAAUGGAGAUGAUUUGCAGGGAGAAGGGAAGAGAUGGCAUUGCUAGGCCUAUUGUUCAAGACCUGACUUUGGGGAAGUUCUUUUGGCCUGCUAGAACGGAGAUCUCUUGGUUAUGGUGAAACUUAACAGAUGACUCCAGCCAUUGCAGCCAGCAAAGUGCUUUGCAACAGAGCUCUCUUUCAUACAGCAAUCUUCUUCCCAAAAAGCACGUCAGCGUCACUUGCUUCCCAUGACUAAUAGCAGACAAGUGAGCUCCUCAUGUCACCGUGCAGCACAGCUCCUCCCAGCCAUGCUGGGCCGCUCUGAGCUGUGCUGGCCUUGAAAUUGAAUUACUCCGUGGGGCCUUCAGGAUAAGCUUGGAAAUAACUAUACCAGAUGAUUGGACUAAUGAGGAAGGUAGUGCUUAACACUAUGGCUCUUUGUCCUCCUGAUGGAAAAAUCCAGAUGGAAAGAAGCGUGGUUCACAGGUUCACAUCAUUUGAUCGUGCUGUGAGGAACAUUUAUCACUAUGAAGUAAGAUUCAUUUGUUAGCGCCAGCAAGGAGGAGGAUGACAAAGGAUCAGGAGUGGAGAAGGAAAAGAAAAAUGUUUAAAAGCAACUUUCAACUGUUGUGGUGAUGAGGAGAAACAACUGAAGACAUAGAUGUCUUUCACAUAGACAGCAACACCCUCGCCCAAUGAGAUGAUGCUAAGACAGACCACAGUGCCCUCCUCCCUCAGGAUUCUGAUCCUACUUGGCUUUUUAAGGUAUUGUUCUUUAUAUCGUUCCAUUUGGU